rnacentral:rRNA from 1 species
AGGACCUUGCGCUUUUGGAGCGGCCGAUGCCUGAUUAGCUUGUUGGUAAGGUAAAAGCUUACCAAGGCUUCGAUCAGUAGCUGGUCUGAGAGGACGACCAGCCACACUGGGACUGAGACACGGCCCAGACUCCUACGGGAGGCAGCAGUGGGGAAUUUUGGACAAUGGAGGCAACCCUGAUCCAGCCAUGCCGCGUGAGUGAAGAAGGCCUUCGGGUUGUAAAGCUCUUUCAGCCGGAACGAAACGGUUACGGAUAACACCCGUGACUACUGACGGUACCGGAAGAAGAAGCACCGGCUAACUACGUGCCAGCAGCCGCGGUAAUACGUAGGGUGCGAGCGUUAAUCGGAGUUACUGGGCGUAAAGCGUGCGCAGGUGGUUUUGUAAGUCAGAUGUGAAAGCCCCGGGCUCAACCUGGGAACU